rnacentral:rRNA from 1 species
GACGAACGCUGGCGGCGUGCCUAAUACAUGCAAGUAGAACGCUGAAGGAGGAGCUUGCUCUUCUGGAUGAGUUGCGAACGGGUGAGUAACGCGUAGGUAACCUGCCUGGUAGCGGGGGAUAACUAUUGGAAACGAUAGCUAAUACCGCAUAACAGUAGAUGUUGCAUGACAUUUACUUAAAAGGUGCAAUUGCAUCACUACCAGAUGGACCUGCGUUGUAUUAGCUAGUUGGUGGGGUAACGGCUCACCAAGGCGACGAUACAUAGCCGACCUGAGAGGGUGAUCGGCAACACUGGGACUGAGACACGGCCCAGACUCCUACGGGAGGCAGCAGUAGGGAAUCUUCGGCAAUGGACGGAAGUCUGACCGAGCAACGCCGCGUGAGUGAAGAAGGUUUUCGGAUCGUAAAGCUCUGUUGUAAGAGAAGAACGAGUGUGAGAGUGGAAAGUUCACACUGUGACGGUAUCUUACCAGAAAGGGACGGCUAACUACGUG